AUCUUCCUCCGAGACUCUGAAGGCAACAAUUUAAAAACCAAAGUUCAUCAUGUCAGUAAUCAUCAUUAUCAGACGCAUGGGGGAUACAGAAGUGAAUGAUACAAGAAAUGAUGCAGUUGAUUUAGACAGAAAAUGCCCCGCUACAUGGAUGAAACUUGGACUCCAAUGCUACAAGUCCAUGCCUGAUCCGCCUGACUGGAUCACAGCAGAGGAUGGACAGUGGUUGUGGAGUGAUGAAACUGUGUUUUUGUAAACCCACUCGCGCGCUGGAGAAUCAAUUACCUGCGUGCCGAGAACUGUUUGGAGAUCACCCCUGACCAUUGCUGGAACGACAGGCCCUGUUCAUACUCAACACCCUAUAUUUGUGUUAGGACCUGUGAGGCCGUCAUCCUGCUCCACAAUUACUUUGAUUGAACUACAUUUUUCCAAUAUUACAAAAAUGUUAUUCUGAAAUCAAAUCUCUUCUAAACUUUAAUCUCUCUUCUCUGAAACACUCAAAUUAAUAAAAGCAUUGAAAAAGCAAA